GGUUAAGCGACCAAGCGUACACGGUGGAUGCCCUGGCAGUCAGAGGCGAUGAAGGGCGUGCUAAUCUGCGAUAAGCGCCGGUAAGGUGAUAUGAACCGUUAUAACCGGCGAUACCCGAAUGGGGAAACCCAGUGUGAUUCGUCACACUAUCAUUAACUGAAUCCAUAGGUUAAUGAGGCGAACCGGGGGAACUGAAACAUCUAAGUACCCCGAGGAAAAGAAAUCAACCGAGAUUCCCCCAGUAGCGGCGAGCGAACGGGGAGGAGCCCAGAGCCUGAAUCAGCAUGUGUGUUAGUGGAAGCGUCUGGAAAGGCGCGCGAUACAGGGU
rnacentral:rRNA from 1 species